rnacentral:rRNA from 1 species
GCUGGCGGCAUGCUUUACACAUGCAAGUCGAGCGGCAGCGCGGGGGCAACCCUGGCGGCGAGCGGCGAACGGGUGAGUAAUGCAUCGGAACGUGUCCCGUAGUGGGGGAUAACCCGGCGAAAGCCGGACUAAUACCGCAUAUGCUCUACGGAGGAAAGGGGGGGACCCGCAAGGGCCUCUCGCUAUGGGAGCGGCCGAUGUCCGAUUAGCUUGUUGGUGGGGUAAUGGCUUACCAAGGCGACGAUCGGUAGCUGGUCUGAGAGGAUGAUCAGCCACACUGGGACUGAGACACGGCCCAGACUCCUACGGGAGGCAGCAGUGGGGAAUUUUGGACAAUGGGGGCAACCCUGAUCCAGCCAUGCCGCGUGCGGGAAGAAGGCCUUCGGGUUGUAAACCGCUUUUGUCCGGAAAGAAAAGGCGCUCUCUAAUACGGGGCGUUCUUGACGGUACCGGAAGAAUAAGCACCGGCUAACUACGUGCCAGCAGCCGCGGUAAUACGUAGGGUGCGAGCGUUAAUCGGAAUUACUGGGCGUAAAGCGUGCGUAGGCGGUUCGCUAA